UUUCUCCCGUACGUGGCCCCUGGAGGAAAAAGUGUAAGCACCUCUGUCAUGCUGUCAUCCUCUAUUUUCAGUGAUCUUUAGCUUGUUCAGGAGCUAAAGAUGUGGCUCCUGGUACUCUUCCCAGGACGUUGUGUCUUUUUCUCUGACAGAUGUUUGAUGUAAAGUACAUAGAGCACACUUUCAAAAGGGGACUGAAAUCCAAGGCUGCUCCCCUCCCUUCCCCAUGGCAAUGUUAUUAUUGCUAGGUCAUGGCCUCUCCUUGAUUGCUCCGGUGAAUCCCGAAGCCCCACCCUCUCCCCUAAGCAGCAGUACGGGUUCAACAGGCUGGUUGGAAAUGGAGUGCGUGUCAGGCUAGCCUGCCUCCCUGGUAUAAUACUCUUCGGGAAGGUCAGAGCCAGGCAUCUGAACCCCGGCGGGCAGAAGAAGGAGAAAAUGACCUCGUGUCUCCUGGUGUGAGGGGCACUGCAAGGCACACAGGGGGAAGGAAAUCUCCCCUGGGGAGUUGAGGAAGGGUUCAAAGGGGCUGCUGAAGUGCUAAGCAAAAGCAGUCAGCGGCUUAGCACAUGGUGGAGAAGUCGAUUAUAAGCAUUUGCAGCUGGUUCUCUCUCUCCUACCUCGGAGGAACUGGGUAACUGCUGACUCAGGAGCUGCAUCAAGUCGGAGGAAUGGGAGGGAGAGGGGUCGUGUUUCCCGAGUGCGUGUACACGCCGCAGAGCGAUGGGAUAGCGCCGGGCACCUCCUACCUGCUGUCCCGUCUUGGAAAAGCGAUCUCAGCAGCGUGCUCUAAGAAGCCAGAGCCUAUUGCUUUCCUGUAGCACUAGAGCUUGUUCAUCAUGGCUGUGCCUUCCAUCAUUCUUUGCAGUGGCAAUGGGGACUGUUCUACUUACAGGAAUGUUGGGACUAAUCAUGUGAGAAAAGAUCCUGGAGUGAUGAGGCAGCAUAUUUCCCAUGUCUGAGGUCAGGAUUUGUUCUGUGAAGCUGACCUUUAAAACAGCCUGAAAAUGAGGAACGUGGCACCAGAGAGCAGAGCAGGAAGCAUGAAAUUAUGUAAGAUAUGUUUCUUCUGCAUAUGAAAUACAUUUUUUUUAAAGCUCUAGGUUUGUGAUUCAGCAUUUUCUGCCACUGAGAGAUACAAGAAAGGGGAAAAUUCUGUAGCAAAAAAAGAAAGUCCCUAUUGUUCUAAUCAAAACCUAAUAAAAUAUUAGCCAUCAGGUAUUUUUGUUCCCUUCUGAUGAGCUGGGAUUGAGAUUAUAUUUUUCAAAAAUCACUCUGCCCUCAGCCUCCUGAUCUGAGAACCCUGGAACUGAAGACAAAGUUUUAUUUUGGCACAGCCUGGGCACCUUUUCUAUAUAUAAUCUGUGUGAAGUGCCUCCAGCUUUGUUGGCAUUGGAUUCCUGGGUGACUGCUGUUUCAGCUCUGACAAGCAACUGCAGGACAGGCCUGUGAUGAGGAUGCUCCAGGGUGCUGGUGCCCAAUGGAUGUUUGCUUUUGCUGCAGGAUAGGCAGGUCAGGGUCCCCCCAGGGCUAAAGCAUCAGUUUGGGUGAGGUUGCCAGCCUGGGUUUGAUCCCAGCUGCAUGGUGAUGCAAGCCCUAGACACAAGCUCUCCUCUCUGAGCUUGUGCAAAAGUGCCUUCACUGCCUUUUUUUCCUUCCUGCCUUUUCGCCCUGUUGCCCUUUCCAUUGUUGAGAUGCAUGAGGUUGCAUUGAGAGCUUUGCUGCAACUGCCAGAUGUCCCAGCCUGUUGCUGCCUCCCUGGUCUUAGAAAUGCUGUUGACCUGUUUGGAAGGAGAAAAUGAGGGAGCCAUUUCAUCCUUCUCCCUCCUUGGAGUCUGGUUCUGUGUUAAGAUAGCAUUUACCUCUCUUGAUAAAGGAGGUGGCAGUGGUGGGGAGCACAUUCCUGGAUAGUGGAGCUCAGCUGAGUCCAUGGAGAGACUGGUCCCUGGCACAGUGUUGGCCUCAGGAUGUUAGCAUUUUCCCAAACAAUUCCCAGGCAUGGGCAUAAAAAUUCUGCAGUCACUACACUUUGAUGGAUAAGAGGGUUUAACAGCCUGUACACAGCUAACCUGUGCCCAUUGGCUCAUUUAUCCCUAUGGAUGUGGUCUGGAUGUGCCUGGAGCGAUCUGUGCUCAGAGCAGAACCCUGCACAGGGGCAGCCUUGCUCUCCAGUGUUGAAUUAUGUCAUCGUGAAGAAGGAAGACAGCCUUGUCAUGCUUCCCCUUUACCUGCUGAGAUGGCAGCAGCAGCAGCAGCAGAGGUGACUGAUGGCUCUUUUUUGGUUGCUCCAAAUGCCAGACAGAAGGAAGCAGGCUUGCAUCUGCCUCAGACUCUGAAUUGAUUUCUUUUUUCUUUUCUUUUUUAAGAGUCCUAAGGGAGAAACAAAUGGAUAUAAGCAUGUACUGUAUUUGUGAGACCAGCACUGGGAUGGCCUGCAUGUUAUAAAUUAAUGUUGAAAAAUGGGUGGUGGAACAUUAAAGCCACACAAAAUGAUUCAGAGCCUGAAGAAAAUGCUUCACAAUGGGAGACAUGAAGCACUUUGUCUCUUUAGUUUAUCAAAAAAGGCUGAGCAGAGAAUUGAUUAUGAUGGUGAAGGAACUUCCUUGGAAGAAAAAUAUCAGGUACUGAAAGGCUUUUUAAUCUAGUAAAUUAUGGGAAUGUGUUCCAGCAAGCUGAAAUCAGAUACAUUCAUAUGAAAAACUGGGCACAAAUUUAUUGGAAUGAAGGUGGUUAAUCACCAUAACAAGCUAUCAGGAUAGUUGGAACAUUUUCCAGAUGUGCCCAAGCCAAGACAGGCCUGUUUCUGAAGGGCAUGCACUAACCACAGUUAAAAGCAAGAGGGACACUGCAGUAAAGUCUCAGGCAAGGUAAACAGGUGAGGUUUGAAGGACUGUGAUGUGUGACAGGCUUGACUAACAGCUCCCAAAGGAGCUGUGAAGAUCUAAUGGUUCCCAUCUGUCCUUAACCUCCGAGAGACUGAGAAAAACAGCACUUAGCAGAAAGUGGAAGGCAGGAAUCAGAAUGACAGCCUCAUUGCUGGCACACUCCUGUGACCUCUGUUUCUGGAAGGACUGUGUCUUUCACCUGCUCGGGACUUUACUAAUGUUUGCUCUACUGCCAACACAAGAACGUUUCUCCAGUCCACAAGCUCUCUGUACAGACUGGCAUCAGCACCCUUCAUUUUAGGAGAGCAUGAGUAAAAAUUUGUGAUGCUCAGUGGCUCAGUGGUAGCUAGGAUAAGUAGUUUCCUUUUCCAGUUUGUUUUUUUUUUAAAUUCCAUCUUCAUAAGCUUUGGUCUUGCCUGUGCUUCACACCUUCUAGUUUCCCCAGUAUCCAUUUCCUUGUAUUGCCUUUGCCACCAGGCUCAGUGUAUUUUCCUGCAUUGAUAAUCUGUGGUGCAGGAUGUCUUGGAGGGUGCUUCCUACCUAUAAUUUGACAAAAUAAACGCUGUCUUUCUUGCACAGA